rnacentral:miRNA from 1 species
AGUUCCCACAAUUCCCAGCACAGCCACAUCAUAUAGUAGUGGCUACUCUAUGAUGUGGCUGUGCUGGGAAUUGUGGGAAC